AGUUGCCACUGGGCCAAGCUCCUUCUCUCUUCUUUUUCUAUUAGCUGCAUCUGCUAUUUCCCAGGGUAAUUUUUUUAGCUUAACUGUGUGUAUUACUCUUCUGCAUCUAAUCUGUGUGUUUUUCUCAUCAAAUUCUGUUUUCUUUUAGCCUCUGGGACUCAGCCAUCAACUGCUUCAUCCAAAGAUUUCAGUGUUCCCUGAAUAGCUAGCCGAAGGAAGCAAUAUGGCAGCGGUACUCACCACAAUCAUUUGGUCAUUACAGCUGUAUACACACCCAAUGAAUCUCUGAGCCAGAUGUUCAACAAAGUAAUAGAUUUCACUCCAGUGGUGGAGAACGCUGCCAGAUCUGCAAGAAAACACAUUGACAAAACUGUAUAUUAGAACAUUUAAGGACACAGAACCACAGCUAGACAAUGAAUCCCAGGCCUCUGUUUCCUCAACACAACACUGUUUAUUCCAGUUCUGCUGGCCAAGUUUCGCUGAAAUGCAUCAUGUGGAUUUAAUGAAUUGCCAUAAAUAUUGUCAGCUGCAAACUGCUGACUGAGCCGAACUCUUGGUCCCGCUGCCAGAGCAAAUGGAAGAAAAGACAGUAAAUUCCAGCAGGGAAUCAGUUCUACAAGGGAAGUGAUGUAGCCAUGCUGAUUUUGUUUAAAUAUAUUGUAUACUAAUAAUAUUAUGGAUUCAAUUUAUAAUCCUUUAUUCAUACAGUGCCGGCAUAUGUUUUGUGGAGCUCUACAGAGAUCGUUUCUCAUUCACAACGGUCCGUAAACCAGAGGAGUUUACAACACACAUAUGCAAUUUAUCAGCAUACGUUUAUACCAAUUGGUAGAAGCAACACCCAGACAAUUUAGGACACAGUAAGGCAUUAAAAAUUCCACUUUACCCACACUUUCUUGAGUUCAAUAAUCCAAUAAUAAUCCAAUAAUUUUUGGUGCUUCGUGAGAAAGCGAGAGCUCUACCAUACUGAAAGGACCACUAAAUCCUUAUGUUGUCUGUUAGACUUGUGUUUAAUAUUAGAGAGUACUCCAAAGGAACUAGUAAAGUAUAUAGUUUAUGGUGUUUUGCCAUCAGGCGUUUAAAUUGCAGCCCUGUUCUGCUAACUAUGACCCCCAAAAGACAUUAGACUUUGCCUUGGUUUGAUAGGUCAUCUAGCUUCUUGCCUUGGAUUAUGACACAAAAGAAGCUCCAUGGUUAGACACAAGCAAGGUUGUGGCAAAAUCAUCUUGAGAAACAAAGGCAGCUUGCACAAGGCUAAAUCGUAUAUAUGAUGUCAUAGAAGGUAAAGAAAACAAAGCAAGAUAUUACACAUUUCCAUUAGACAACACAGCUGGGGCAAAUGAAGACAUGAGAUGCCUUUAAAGAGCUCCAUGGGAAUGGUUUGGUCUAUUCUAUAUCCCAAUACAACUUUUGAUUUCAGAAUUUCAGAAUUUCAGAAUUCACACCAAUGAGCACCAGGUCAAAGUUAAUUGGUUGCAUUGGGUCACUGCACAGGGCAACAUUUCCCUAUGUUACUUGCAAAGUUUGUGGCCCAUCUAGUCACCCUCUCUGUGGACCUAGAAUAGGAUCAGCAGGUCUAUUAAGAAAUGGCCAUAAGAAAUGCAUCUAACAAAUGUAUGGGUGCAGAUAAUGAACUAGUUUUAGAUUUCCCUAUAGAAUUCAGUGGGGUUUCUAUAAAUAUAUACCCCAUGAUUUCAAAACUGAACCUGUACCAGUAUAUUAAAUACCACCAAUGGUAAAUGGCUCAUUAUGUCAGAUACUUUUUCUAGGUGACACUUUAGAACAUACAUUUGCUGUAUUAAACUUGUCUAGUACAGACCUCAUUUUUUCCUGCUUGAAAAUAUUUAUGGAAUUUGUAUCCUUAUUUUACAGUUCUUUAAAGAUAACCAUCUGUCCAAAGCAAAUGUUCUUGAAUUCAUUUAUUUUGCCUCGCCCAUCAAAAACUUCCAUUCACUCAGCAAUUUUCCUCUCCUUCAAGGCUGUUUUUCUUACUUCCUUCUUUAACCUUCUUUAUUUAUUUUGCAAGAUGCAUCUUCGCAAUGGCCUCCUUAGUGGAAAUUUCAAACUCCAUUGUACAAUCUACUUUUUGAACUUAAAUUGGUCAAGAAACCCUGCCCAGAUAAGAACCUCAUCUUUGGUUGUUUGCAUAUUUGACCUCUUUCUGUUUAACUUUGAAGGUUAUAAUGUCCUGCUGGUUUCCUGGCUGCCUGGAAGUUUCAUGUUUCAACAUACAUUACCUGCUUCCAGUAAGAGAAUGAAAUUGUUUUAUAGAUCAGCUCUCUUAAGCAGAGGGACACAUAUUUGUUACAUAUGCAAGUCCCUUAGUACCGUUAGUUAAUUUCCCAUCAGGAAUUUUUACAGGGAUUAUAUUCUUACAAACAUCUCACUUACAUUUGCCUAACAGAAUAAAACUAUGUGCACUUUUUUAUUUGCCUUUUUUUGCUAAAAUGGUGUAUUUCACCAAUCCCUAUAUCCAACAAUGAUCUCAAUUGACUUUACAGAGGUUUGGAUCCAGCCAUAACAAUUUUGCUUCAUGUUAUGUUACCAUCAUUAAUAAAGGUGGUAGAAGCAAAAGACUCCCAUUUAAAUUGAAAUAUAAUUAUUAGCGAUGGGUGAAAUCUAAGCAAUACUACAUUACCUGUGUCAAAAGAUUUCAUA